ACGCAGCCCGGGUUGAGCGGAAAUCCUUUUUUGCUGGUGGAAAAGCAUUGGCAAAAAGAUUGGGAGCGGAAGACGGAUAAAGC
rnacentral:sRNA from 1 species